rnacentral:rRNA from 1 species
UACGUAGGGUCCGAGCGUUGUCCGGAAUUAUUGGGCGUAAAGGGCUCGUAGGCGGUCUGUUGCGUCGGGAGUGAAAACUUACAGCUUAACUGUGAGCGUGCUUCCGAUACGGGCAGACUUGAGGUAUUCAGGGGAGAACGGAAUUCCUGGUGUAGCGGUGAAAUGCGCAGAUAUCAGGAGGAACACCGGUGGCGAAGGCGGUUCUCUGGGAAUAUCCUGGCGCUGAGGAGCGAAAGUGUGGGGAGCGAACAGG